AUUGAACGCUGGCGGCAUGCCUUACACAUGCAAGUCGAACGGCAGCACGGGGCAACCUGGUGGCGAGUGGCGAACGGGUGAGUAAUGCAUCGGAACGUACCUUUCAGUGGGGGAUAACGUAGCGAAAGUUACGCUAAUACCGCAUAUUCUGUGAGCAGGAAAGCAGGGGAUCGCAAGACCUUGCGCUGAUUGAGCGGCCGAUGUCAGAUAGCUAGUUGGUGAGGUAAAGGCUCACCAAGGCGACGAUCUGUAGCGGGUCUGAGAGGAUGAUCCGCCACACUGGAACUGAGACACGGUCCAGACUCCUACGGGAGGCAGCAGUGGGGAAUUUUGGACAAUGGGGGCAACCCUGAUCCAGCCAUGCCGCGUGGGUGAAGAAGGCCUUCGGGUUGUAAAGCUCUUUCGGCCGGGAAGAAAUCGCACGGGCUAAUACCCUGUGUGGAUGACGGUACCGGAAUAGGAAGCACCGGCUAACUACGUGCCAGCCGCCGCGGUAAAAC
rnacentral:rRNA from 1 species